rnacentral:lncRNA from 1 species
GUUUGUUUGCCACGUGUCAUCCAAGUAGAAACAGACGGCUAUACUCUUUUUAAAAACAAUUAAGGAAAAACUGAGUAUAGCCGUGCGGCUAUACUCUUUUAAAAAUAUAUAUGUUAUUUUUAUUCAAUAAUAUGUGAGAAUAUGUAUAUAAUACGUGAAUUUUGUGUGCUUUAUUGAAAUUUUUGUAAAAAAUACGCGUAUUAAACAUGAGAAAUACGUGCGG